rnacentral:rRNA from 1 species
CUGGUUGAUCCUGCCGGAGGUCACUGCUAUCAGGAUUCGAUUAAGACAUGCAAGGUGUAUGUGGUUCGCCCGCAUACCGAACGGCUCAGUAACACGUAGUUAAUCUACCCUCAGGUUGGGGAUAACCCCGGGAAACUGGGAUCAAUACCCAAUAGGUUUUGGAUACUGGAAUGUUCCAAAAUUUAAAGCUCCGGCGCCUGAGGAUGAGACUGCGGUGGAUUAGGCUGUUGUUGGUAUAAUGGACCAACAAACCUGUAAUCCAUACGGGCGUUGAGAGACGAAGCCCGGAGACGUGUUCUGAGACAAGAACACGGGCCCUACGGGGCGCAGCAGUCGCGAAACCUUUACAAUGUCUUCACGGACGAUAGGGGAAUCCUGAGUGCUCUAGCAUUGCUAGAGCUUUUGCCUACUGAAAAAGGGUAGGCGAAUAAGUGGUGGGUAAGACGGGUGCCAGCCGCCAUUACACAAUUGGCUUUGCGAAUUUCUAGUUCAAAAUACAGUUGUGUAACGGAAAGCGGUAAUACCCGCGCCACAAGUGGUGACCACGUUUAUUGGGUCUAAAGCGUUCGUAGCCGGCCUGAUAAAUUCUCGGUGAAAUCCUGUGUAAAUCAUAGGGCGUGCCGGGAAGACUGUCAAGCUAGGAACCGGGAGAGGCUGAGGGUACUCCAGGAGUAGGGGUUAAAUCCUGUAAUUCUUGGAGGACCACCGGUGGCGAAGGCGCUCAGCUGGAACGGCUUCGACGGUGAGGGACGAAAGCCAGGGGAGCGAACGGGAUUAGAUACCCCGGUAGUCUUGGCUGUAAACGAUGCCCGCUUGGUGUAUCGCUUCCUUCGUGGAAGUGAUGUGCCGUAGCGUAGGUGUUAAGCGGGCCACCUGGGGAGUACGGUCGCAAGGCUGAAACUUAAGGGAAUUGGCGGGGGAGCACCUCAAGGGGUGGAGGCUGCGGUUCAAUUGGAUUCAACGCCGG